GAUGAACGCUGGCGGCGUGCCUAAUACAUGCAAGUCGAGCGAACAGACGAGGAGCUUGCUCCUCUGACGUUAGCGGCGGACGGGUGAGUAACACGUGGAUAACCUACCUAUAAGACUGGGAUAACUUCGGGAAACCGGAGCUAAUACCGGAUAAUAUAUUGAACCGCAUGGUUCAAUAGUGAAAGUCGGUUUUGCUGUCACUUAUAGAUGGAUCUGAGCCGCAUUAGCUAGUUGGUAAGGUAAAGGCUUACCAAGGCUACGAUGCGUAGCCGACCUGAGGGGGUGAUCGGCCACACUGGAGCGUGGACACGGUCCAGACUCCUGCGGGAGGGAGCAGUAGGGAAUCUGCCGCAAUGGGCGAAAGCUUGACGGAGCAACGCCGCGUGAGUGAUGAAGGUCUUCGGAGCGUAAAACUCUGUUAUUAGGGGAGAACAAAUGUGUAAGUAACUAUGCACGUCUUGACGGUACCUGAUCAGAAAGCCACGGCUAACUACGUG
rnacentral:rRNA from 1 species